rnacentral:rRNA from 1 species
GUUUACAAAACAUGUCCUUUUGAUUAUAAUAUAAGGUCGGGCCUGCCCAAUGAUUAAUUUAAUGGCCGCAGUAUACUAACUGUGCAAAGGUAGCAUAAUCAAUUGUCUCUUAAUUGGGGACUAGAAUGAAAGGUUUGACGAGGGGUAAGCUUUCUUUAUUAUAAUUAGUGAAUUUUACAUUUAGGUUAAAAGGCUUAAAUUUUGUUAUAGGACGAGAAGACCCUAUAGAGCUUUAUAGUGGAUUUAUAUUGAUUACUUAGUUUAUAAUAUGAUAUAUAAAUAUCAUUAUUUUGUUGGGGUGACAUAUAAAUUUGUAUAACUUUAUAUUAUAAUUGUUCAUAGAUUAGUGUUUAUUUGAUCCAUUUUUAAUGAUUAAAAGAUUAAGCUACCUUAGGGAUAACAGCGUAAUUUCUUUGGAGAGUUCUUAUCGAUAAAGGAGUUUGCGACCUCGAUGUUGGAUUAAAAUAAGUUACAGGUGUAGCAGCUUGAUAACUAAGUCUGUUCGACUUUUAAAUUUUUACAUGAACUAAUUUCC